GCUUGAUUAGCCCAGCUGGUUAGAGCGUCGUACUAACACAGAACGGUAUUAAUUCAUCUGUAUCCUGUAAUGCGAAGGCAAAAGGUUCAAUCCUGUUAUCGAGCA